rnacentral:rRNA from 1 species
CAGUAGCCACGGUAAUACGUAGGUGGCAAGCGUUAUCCGGAAUUAUUGGGCGUAAAGCGCGCGUAGGCGGUUUUUUAAGUCUGAUGUGAAAGCCCACGGCUCAACCGUGGAGGGUCAUUGGAAACUGGAAAACUUGAGUGCAGAAGAGGAAAGUGGAAUUCCAUGUGUAGCGGUGAAAUGCGCAGAGAUAUGGAGGAACACCAGUGGCGAAGGCGGCUUUCUGGUCUGUAACUGACGCUGAUGUGCGAAAGCGUGGGGAUCAAACAGGAUUAGAUACCCGCGUAGUCCCUGUCUCUUAUAC